GGGGUAACGGCCUACCAAGGCAACGAUGGGAUAGCCGAUCUGAGAGGAUGAUCGGCCACACUGCAACUGAAACACGGUCCAGACUCCUACGGGAGGCAGCAGUGGGGAAUAUUGCGCAAUGGGCGAAAGCCUAACGCAGCGACGCCGCGUGAGGGAUGAAGGUCUUCGGAUCGUAAACCUCUGUCAGAAGGGAAGAAACCGGGUUGUGCCAAUCAACAAUCCAUUGACGGUACCUUCAAAGGAAGCACCGGCUAACUCAGUGCCAGCAGACGCGCUAAUACGGAGGGUGCAAGCGUUAAUCGGAAUCACUGCGCGUAAAGCGCACCUAAGCUGUUAUGUAAGUCAGGGGUGGANAGCCCACGGCUCAACCGUGAAACUGCCCUUGAUACUGCACUGACUUGAAUCCGAGAGAGGGUAGCGGAAUUCCAGGUGUAGGAGUGAAAUCCGUAGAUAUCUGGAGGAACAUCAGUGCGAAGGCGGCCACCUGCACCGGUAUUGACGCUAAGGUGCGAAAGCGUGGGGAGCAAACAGGAUUAGAUACCCUGCUAGUCCACGCCGCAAACG
rnacentral:rRNA from 1 species